AGCAGCCGCGGUAAUUCCAGCUCCAAUAGCGUAUAUUAAAGUUGUUGCAGUUAAAAAGCUCGUAGUUGAAUUUCGGGAUUGACGUGAUGGUCAUGCCUUAAGGGGUGUGAACUGUUACUGUUGAUUUCUCACCUUCUGGAGAAACUUGAUGUCCUUUAUUGGGUGUCUUGCGGAUCCAGGACCUUUACCUUGAAAAAAUUAGAGUGUUUAAAGCAGGCAUUUUUGCUCGAAUACAUUAGCAUGGAAUAAUAGAAUAGGACGGCAUGGUUCUAUUUUGUUGGUUUCUAGGAUCACCGUAAUGAUUAAUAGGGAUAGUUGGGGGCAUUAGUAUUCAAUUGUCAGAGGUGAAAUUCUUGGAUUUAUUGAAGACUAACUACUGCGAAAGCAUUUGCCAAGGAUGUUUUCAUUAAUCAAGAACGAAAGUUAGGGGAUCGAAGACGAUCAGAUACCGUCGUAGUCUUAACCAUAAACUAUGCCGACUAGGAAUCAGACGAUGUUAAUUUUUUAAUGACUCGUUUGG
rnacentral:rRNA from 1 species